UUGCAGAGCAAUCAUUCACCGAAGAGCGGAGAAGCUGUAUGUAUUUGUUACACUGAACAAAAGCUCCUACCACGAAUUGAAUGAUUUGUAAUUCACAUGGCUACAAAUCUGCAUAUACCUCGUUUUGAAUGAUUUUUAAACAAAAUGAUGCACCUACCGACUACUGAACAAAAAUCAUCCAAUUUUAUGAUGACUUUCAGUAUACAUCCGUAUGACAAUGUGUUGAUAGUUGAACUUUAACAACACAAAUGAGUAACAUGCGACUUAUGAUGGAUUUUCAUUUCUUCCAUGUCCCAAAUCAAAAAUCAUUCGAUUAUAGUCUACAACUUCAUUCGGAUAGCAAAUGAUCCUUGACUUGAAAUCAUCCUUGUCAAUCUAAGCAAAAACAUGGCGGCAGCAGCGGAACUUGGCAUUUCUUCACGGAUUACGCAGGUGACCAAGAACUGAUAAUUCUGGUUCGAUCCAGAGACGUUGGAGUGGAUAAUGCGGACACUUCCAGAUUGCUUCAAACAGCUAUAUUACAGGCGCCUCAUUAGUGUGUUAAUUGUUAAUUGAUUUUUAUAUUGCCUAUUAUCAUCAAAAUAAAUGAUGACUUGUGGAAACCACCAA
rnacentral:lncRNA from 1 species